UGUUUAAGCCACUACAUUUACACUCUUUUGUUACAGCAGCAACAGGACACCGUUCAACUGAAUCACAAUUUUUAGAAGAAUUUUUGUAACCAGUUAUCAACACAACUGGCUUCCUUUUUAAUCCUACGUGAUUUGCUUUAUGCAUUUUGAAGUAUUGUUUUAAGAGGGAAUCUACAGACUUCACCAGACGACUGCCAAAUGGAUUGGUGAACUAAAAAAAAUAUUUAGAACCUUUUUUUAAUCUACAUUUGUCCUCUUAUGAUUUGUUUUGCCCCAUGGAACCCAAAGCUAUAGUUACUGCAUAGAUGGGAGAGUUCCCACAAGGGACUGCCCCAAACUGCCCCCAGAUGGGGCCUGCUGCGGUUCCAAAGCAGGAAGCCUUGCAGGCCAGGGCAGCUGGAGGGAGUAUGUGUUGGGGGAGGUCAGCAUGAGAAGGGCGUCCUACCUACAUAUGCUUGUCCCCUGGGGUAGGGGAGGGAGGGAGUUCCAGGAGGGCGUAAGACACUGGGCUCAGGGUCAGUUGGGUUUUUUUGGUGUUUAGACAACAACCUGAAGUCCCGUUACCAGUGCCUGGGAAAUCCAAGGCCCAGGCUAGGGCUCAGGCCUGCAGGAGAGAUGCAGCCAACCAGGUCACAGAGCUGUCAAGGCGCUCCACGUGUUUUGGGUUAGGACACAGAAAAUGAGGACAGGGGAACUGGAGGAAGGCCCACAGUCCACCCCUCUGACUGGCUCUUAUGACCUCAUACUCCCACUGAGGUGGCCAUACCAGGGCUUAGGCGGCCAGGCCAAGAUGGCGAGUGAGGAGGUCAGGGGCAGGGCCAGAACAGAGGAGCAUGCAGAGGGUCUUCUGAUGACAUCCACUUCCUGCUUGACAUUUCUGUACUCGCGCUCCUAAGUGGGGAAUCCAGUAGAAAAACUAAACCAGACACAUGGACACAGGGGGCACCCGUCAAUAACAGUGAGGAGAAUGUGGACAGGGGCGGAGACAGGAAAGGAGGAAAUUCCAGCGAUCAUGAAAAGAACAGGCCCAAACUCCCCCUCGGAUUCCGGGCUCUGGGGCCUCUCCUCUUCAGAGAAGCCUAUCUCUGUACCUCUAACUCUUCAAUAAAUCUACUUCUUGCUUGCUAUAUCUGUGUCCUGUUCAAUUUUUAUUUUAUCUGUGGUGCUGGGGGUUGAACCCAUGGCUGUGCGCCUGCGAGGCAAGCACUCCACCAACUGAGCUAUAUCCCCAGCCUCUCCUUUCUUCAAUUCUUUGCUGAUCAGAGACCAGGAACCCGGCACCCCUAGACAGUAACAUCACCCCAGCCACGAUGUUUCCUCAACCUCUGGAAAGGGCGGACUUGCGGCGGUCUGAAACCCUAACUUGAUGGAACCCUGCAAGGAAAGCCACUGCCCUGUGAGCAUGUGCACGUGAUAAGACCCCAAAGGACGCUGGGGUGCGUAGCUCAGAGGAGGAGUGCAGCGCUCGAGGCACUGGGUUGUUUCCAGCGCCAAAAACCCAAACAAAUUAAUUAAAAUAAAAACAGAGCCGCAAUUCCUACAAGGCCUACUAGUAGAACUUUCCACCAAGGACCCCUCCCCAACCAUGAUUUUACUGUAGGCCACAGGCGUCGUGGCCCAUGUGAUCGGUGAGAUGUAAAUGCUCCUACAAAUGAAGGAGGGGUUGACUGACUGUCGCUUCUUUGGGAUACACCCACCUUGCGGGCCUCAGAGGGCCCGGUGUCUCGGUGUCUCUUGCUCGGCUGUCACCUCUGCCCAGCUCCUUCGUGGUGGCUUUUCCUGUGUUCAAGGCUCCAACCUGCACUCCACUGGGUCAAAGGUGCAGAGGCGAAUAUUCGAGAGGCUUCUGCCUUCUAUGUGAUGUCAAUAGAGCCUUCUGGACGCCCAAGGACUCGCCUCCUGAGCCACAGCAGUCCGUUUUAAAAGAAAAACAUAAGCAACAAGAACAGCCCAGAAGCCCACAUGAAAUCCAAGGGGCUCUGAGAUGAAGGGCAAGCACACUCUAAGUUGAUGCUGUCGGCACAGAUCAAAAGAGCUCUGUGGGAAUAUAACACAGCAGUGAAAUGAAGGGACCCGCUGAAG